UACGGAGGGUGCGAGCGUUAUCCGGAUUUACUGGGUUUAAAGGGUGUGUAGGCGGGCUAUUAAGUCAGCGGUGAAAUCUUCGGGCUCAACCCGGAAACUGCCAUUGAUACUAUUAGUCUUGAAUACUGUGGAGGUAUGCGGAAUGUGUCAUGUAGCGGUGAAAUGCUUAGAGAUGACACAGAACACCGAUUGCGAAGGCAGCGUACUACACAGUGAUUGACGCUGAGGCACGAAAGCGUGGGGGAUCA
rnacentral:rRNA from 1 species